UACGGGGGGAGCAAGCGUUGUUCGGAUUUACUGGGCGUAAAGGGCGCGUAGGCGGUCAGCACAAGUCAGUUGUGAAAUCUCCGGGCUUAACCCGGAAAGGUCAACUGAUACUGUGCGACUAGAGUGCGGAAGGGGCAACUGGAAUUCUCGGUGUAGCGGUGAAAUGCGUAGAUAUCAGGAGGAACGCCGGAGGCGAAAGCGAGUGACUGGCGCGUUCCUGACGCUGAGGUGCGAAAGCUAGGGGAGCAAACAGG
rnacentral:rRNA from 1 species